rnacentral:rRNA from 1 species
CCUACGGGUGGCAGCAGUGAGGAAUAUUGGUCAAUGGUCGGAAGUCUGAACCAGCCAUGCCGCGUGCAGGAAGACGGUUCUAUGAGUUGUAAACUGCUUUUGUCCAAGGGUAAACCUGAAUACGCGUAUUCAGCUGAAAGUACUGUACGAAUAAGCAUCGGCUAACUCCGUGCCAGCAGCCGCGGUAAUACGGAGGAUCCAAGCGUUAUCCGGAUUUAUUGGGUUUAAAGGGUGCGUAGGCGGAUUGAUAAGUUAGAGGUGAAAUGUCCGAGCUUAACUCGGGAACUGCCUCUAAUACUGUUGGUCUAGAGAGUAGAUGCGGUAGGCGGAAUGUAUGGUGUAGCGGUGAAAUGCUUAGAGAUCAUACAGAACACCGAUUGCGAAGGCAGCUUACCAAUCUAUAUCUGACGUUGAGGCACGAAAGCGUGGGGAGCGAACAGGAUUAGAUACCCGAGUAGUC